rnacentral:rRNA from 1 species
UUGGGACUGAGACGGCCCAAACUCCUACGGGAGGCAGCAGUGGGAAUAUUGCACAAUGGGCGGAAGCCUGAUGCAGCAACGCCGCGUGCGGGAUGACGGCCUUCGGGUUGUAAACCGCUUUCAGCAGGGACGAAGCGUGAGUGACGGUACCUGCAGAAGAAGCACCGGCUAACUACGUGCCAGCAGCCGGUGAUACGUAGGGUGCGAGCGUUGUCCGGAUUUAUUGGGCGUAAAGAGCUUGUAGGCGGUUUGUCGCGUCGGGAGUGAAAACUCAGGGCUUAACCCUGAGCCUGCUUCCGAUACGGGCAGACUUGAGGAAGGUAGGGGAGAAUGGAAUUCCUGGUGAAGCGGUGGAAUGCGUAGAUAUCAGGAGGAACACCAGUGGCGAAGGCGGUUCUCUGGACCUUUCCUGACGCUGAUAAGCGAAAGCGUGGGGAGCAAACAGGCUUAGAUACCCUGGUAGUCCACGCCGUAAACGGUGGGUACUAGGUGUGGGGGACAUUCCACGUUCUCCGUGCCGCAGCUAACGCAUUAAGUACCCCGCCUGGGGAGUACGGCCGCAAGGCUAAAACUCAAAGGAAUUGACGGGGCCCCGCACAAGCGGCGGAGCAUGCGGAUUAAUUCGAUGCAACGCGAAGAACCUUACCUGGGUUUGACAUAUGCCGGAAACAUCCAGAGAUGGAUGCCCCUUUUUGGUCGGUUUACAGGUGGUGCAUGGCUGUCGUCAGCUCGUGUCGUGAGAUGUUGGGUUAAGUCCCGCAACGAGCGCAACCCUCGUCCUAUGUUGCCAGCGGGUAAUGCCGGGGACUCAUAGGAGACCGCCGGGGUCAACUCGGAGGAAGGUGGGGAUGACGUCAAGUCAUCAUGCCCCUUAUGUCCAGGGCUUCACGCAUGCUACAAUGGCCGGUACAAAGAGCUGCGAGCCUGUAAGGGUGAGCGAAUCUCAAAAAGCCGGUCUCAGUUCGGAUUGGGGUCUGCAACUCGACCCCAUGAAGUCGGAGUCGCUAGUAAUCGCAGAUCAGCAACGCUGCGGUGAAUACGUUCCCGGGGCUUGUACACACCGCCCGUCAAGUCAUGAAAGUCGGUAACACCCGAAGCCGGUGGCCUAACCCUUGUGGAGGGAGCCGUCGAAGGUGGGACCGGUAAUUAGGACUAAGUCGUAACAAGGUAGCCGUACCGGGGUGCGGCUG